AACGAACGCUGGCGGCAUGCCUAACACAAGCAAGUCGAACGAGACCUUCGGGUCUAGUGGCGCAAGGGGGCGUAACGCGUGGGAACCUGCGCUUAGGUUCGGAAUAACUCCCCGAAAGGGGUGCUAAUACCGGAUAAUGUCUUCGGACCAAAGAUUUAUCGCCUUUGCAUGGGCUCGAGUUGGAUUAGCUAGUUGGUAGGGUAAAGGCCGUCCAAGGCGACGAUCCAUAGCUGGUCUGAGAGGACGUUCAGCCACUCUGGGACUGAGACACGGCCCAGACUCCUACGGGAUGCAGCAGUAGGGAAUAUUGCACAAGCGGCCAAAGCCUGAUCCAGCUAUGCCGCGUGAGUGAUGAAGGCCUUAGGGUUCUAAAGCUCUUUUACCCGCGCUGAUAAUGACAGUACCGGGAGAAUAAGCUCCGGCUAACUCCGUG
rnacentral:rRNA from 1 species